AAAAAAUUAUAACUUAAAUUUAUUUAAAUAUGAAUUUUCUCUCUCCGUUAUAUUUUCGUUUUCAAAUUCAAAACUCGUGUUGAUAAUCUCUUACCGGCCCUGUGACUUGUGUAGAAUCCAAAGAAAAGCUUCGACGGUGCGUUUAGGUCGACAACUCAAUACGUUUUCCCGGAAAUUAACAAGGAAUCCUAUGAUCUAUCUCCAAUAUCAGAGAUUUCUGAUGCUGAUCAUUGUUCCCAAACAGCAACAAUCUCUAUUUUAGCUUUAAAUCCAGUUGUUUCAGCUCCUACAGAAACGUCCUCCGUCUCUGAUAAUACUCCCACUUCAAAGAUCAGCACCAUCACUAAUGAGUCAGCCAUUGUUUCUACGGAUUGCUGUGGCCUUAACAAAGUAAGCAUCUCAAAGAUCGGUCAAGUGGAGAGACUGGAAGCAAAUAUUGUGUUGAUUCUUCUCAAAGAAGAUCGAAUUAUAGUGUUGAAAGCAGAUGUUCAAUCAAAGAAGCUUAUGGGGGCAUUAAUUAAGGUUGUCAUAGAUGAAUAAUAUUGCACUUUAACUGAAGAUAAAGACUUGGCGAUUGGCCUUGUUUCUAUGAAAUGGUGUGCUGUGUUUUUUAUGUUUCACAGGUUUUCAUUUAUGAUAUGGCAUUGCGAUUUUUUGAUUGACCUCAUAGUAGUUAUAGAGCAGGAUCAAUCUAGUUGAACACACUCCACAUCUAAUGUCUACCUGAACUAUUCUCACCCGCUGUAUAUGGUAAAUUGAGGCGAGUAACUGCUCAAAAUUUGAACCCCUGCUCAUUAUAAAUGCUCUUGUCCAGGUAAUAUGGUUUGCUCUAUCUGUUUUUUUCAAAACUCUGGCCUGUUGAUUCACUCUCUCAAGGCUUGAACUGCGAUAUAAAUUAGGUUUCAAAUUGGUGAUAAGAAGUUUUUUUCUUUUCUUUGCAAGUAUAAAUUCCUCUCCGUUCUUUUUUGGUCAGUGAAUGGCUAUUUUCUUAAAA